UCUGCCUGCUCGGUAGUUAAGCAAUCCCUGGAAAAAUAAAGACGUGCAAUUAGGGCGAAUUCCCCAAGGACUCAUAGCAGACUAUUCCAAUGCAGCAUUUCCACGCAAGUCAUUAACGAACACUUCAGAGUAUCUAUUUCAGGACCUCCUGCGUGGAGAAGGUCGGGCCAUUUCGUAUCGGCAGGAGCGACACUUAAUUCUGUCCGCCAGGACCACGGUUACAAUAGCCGCUGCACAUUUAAUAAAAAGAGAGAGAGAGGGAGAAGAGGAUUCCAUUGAAAUCCCCGCUCCAGCGGCCUCGCUGUCACAGGACCUUGGCGGCUCGCUGUCUUCUCGCAUCUCAUGGCAGGUGUCAAGAAAGCAGGACUCGAUAUUCAGAACGACACCCAUAGCAGGGGAACAGGGGAAGUGGCACGGAGUAACAGCAAGUCAUGUGUCCCCCCCUCACUGCAAGUACCAGUCCACCACUGGGAUGUCGCCUUGUUUUGACUAUUC